AACGAACGCUGGCGGCAUGCCUAACACAUGCAAGUCGAACGAGAUCUUCGGGUCUAGUGGCGCACGGGUGCGUAACGCGUGGGAAUCUGCCCUUUUGCUCGGAAUAACAGUUGGAAACGACUGCUAAUACCGGAUGAUGACGAAAGUCCAAAGAUUUAUCGCCAGAGGAUGAGCCCGCGUAGGAUUAGCUAGUUGGUGUGGUAAAGGCGCACCAAGGCGACGAUCCUUAGCUGGUCUGAGAGGAUGAUCAGCCACACUGGGACUAAGACACGGCCCAGACUCCUACGGGAGGCAGCAGUGGGGAAUAUUGGACAAUGGGCGAAAGCCUGAUCCAGCAAUGCCGCGUGAGUGAUGAAGGCCUUAGGGUUGUAAAGCUCUUUUACCCGGGAUGAUAAUGACAGUACCGGGAGAAUAAGCUCCGGCUAACUCCGUGCCAGCCGCCGCGGUAA
rnacentral:rRNA from 1 species